AAAUAUUUAUUUAUGAUGAUUUUUUUUUUCCAUCCCGCCCGCUCGGUUCCCCCCAUUUUUUCCAUUCCCGCGCCCCAAAAUCCCCAAUCUCUUUAGAACAAAAAAAAACCCUAAAUCUAAUCGUCUCCCUCACAUCACUCUCUCAGUCGCCUCUCUCUCUCUCUCUCACCCUCUCGUUUAUCUCUGCACCGAUCUCGUUCAUCUCUGCACCGAUCACUCUCUUACUCUCUCAUUGCUCAUCUCAUCGAUUCGCACCGAUCAUCGCACCGCCAAUCUACUCACAGGGGGAAAAGAUUGCCGUCGUUGUUAGUACCAUUACUGAUGACAUUAGGGCCCAUGAAGUUCCUGCCUUGAAGGUGACUGCACUGAGGUUCACAGAGACAGUGAGAGCAAGGAUUGAGAAGGCCGGUGGUGAGUGCCUGACAUUUGAUCAGCUGGCCCUCAGAGCUCCACUUGGGCAGAACACGGAGAUAGUGAUGUCACAGAAAAACCAGUAGACCCGAUUAAAGUUUACUCUGAGAGAUAUGCAGUUUGUUCCUGAGACAACGUAAGUGUUCUUUCCACAGUUUUCAUUGUCUUCAUUACUGGUGUUUAAAUAGUUGGUUCCUCCAAAAGAUUAUAAUUUGCAACUGUUAUCUAUUUAUUUGUAGGUCAAAAGGAUAAAUUUUGCCGAGGGGAAGAUCUGAUUCUAGAAGUAAGGAAUUUGCAGCUUGAUUUUUGAAAUAGGCUCAAAAUUGAGAUCUUGUUGGAAAUUUUUUAUAUUUUUUAUUUUUUGUAAGAGCAUUUAAAUAUCCAAUGUGCUGAUUGGUGAAUUUUAGAUUUUAUUUUAUUAUUUUAUUUUUUUUAGGA